UACGUAGGGGGCAAGCGUUGUCCGGAUUUAUUGGGCGUAAAGAGCGUGUAGGCGGCCAGGUAGGUCCGUUGUGAAAACUAGAGGCUCAACCUCUAGACGUCGAUGGAAACCAUCUGGCUAGAGUCCGGAAGAGGAGAGUGGAAUUCCUGGUGUAGCGGUGAAAUGCGUAGAUAUCCGGAGGAACACCAGUGGCGAAAGCGGCCACCUGGACUGCACCUGACGCUGACACGCGAAAGCUAGGGGAGCGAACGGGG
rnacentral:rRNA from 1 species